AAGUCGUAACAAGGUCUCCGUAGGUGAACCUGCGGAGGGAUCAUUAACACGUAUCCAACACGUAUCUAAACCAAACCCGCGCUCCUCUUUUGCCCAUGUCAGGAGGUGUAUAUGCAAGCCACAAGAUAGAUUCAGUAAAGGGGAGGUCAAAGCCCUCUUUGCUGUCUGCUUGCAAUACUAUGGUCCCCUCGAGGGCUGAACCGAUCUGAUCAUGGUGUAUCGAAGGCUAUCUGGUUAUCAGUGCCACCCCGGUAUCGACCCGGAGCCUGGUAGCCUUACUAAACCCAUUUUUAACCCCUUUUUUUUAAAUUACUACUGAUUGUUACUCUGCAGCUCUUCUGAGCCUACAGAUGUAUACGAAACCGCGAACAACUCUUAGCAACGGAUAUCUUGGUUCUC
rnacentral:misc_RNA from 1 species